rnacentral:rRNA from 1 species
UAGUAGUCGCUAUACUCGAGAGUGGCGAACGGGUGAGUAAUAUAUCGGAACGUGCCCAGUCGUGGGGGAUAACGUAGAGAAAUUUACGCUAAUACCGCAUACGAUCUAAGGAUGAAAGCGGGGGAUUCGCAAGAACCUCGCGCGAUUGGAGCGGCUGAUAUCAGAUUAGGUUGUUGGUGAGGUAAAAGCUCACCAAGCCGACGAUCUGUAGCUGGUUUGAGAGAACGACCAGCCACACUGGGACUGAGACACGGCCCAGACUCCUACGGGAGGCAGCAGUGGGGAAUUUUGGACAAUGGGCGAAAGCCUGAUCCAGCAAUGCCGCGUGCAGGAAGAAGGCCUUCGGGUUGUAAACUGCUUUUGUACGGAACGAAAAGGCUCUUUCUAAUAAAGAGGGCCCAUGACGGUACCGUAAGAAUAAGCACCGGCUAACUACGUGCCAGCAGCCGCGGUAAUACGUAGGGUGCGAGCGUUAAUCGGAAUUACUGGGCGUAAAGCGUGCGCAGGCGGUUCUAUAAGACAGAUGUGAAAUCCCCGGGCUCAACCUGGGAAUGGCAUUUGAGACUGUACAGCUACAGUAUGGUAGAGGGGGAUGGAAUUCUGCGUGUA